rnacentral:misc_RNA from 1 species
AAGCCAUAGUCUUCAUUCUUAAAAAAUGGAUUAUAUUACCGGAUACUAAUUUGCCAAAUCAAAUAUCCUAUGAAAGAUGACUAAAGCACCCAGAUCCUAGAAGCACCCAAGGAAUGAGCAACUGCUAUUAAUAGGGUCUAGCUAUAGAAGUUUUUGUUCCUACAGUUUAUGCUUCAGAUGCACAGGAACCCUAUUUCUUUUUAAUCCUAUAGUAAUUUAAACAAAUUGAUUCAGUAUUUGGUCCAUAGAUCAUGACGUUUUCUUGUGUUCUUUCUAUCAUUUGGCAGAAUA